CCUAUGUCUCACAGCAUCCCCAUGUGUCUCAGCAUCCCCAUGUGUCCCAGUGUCCCCUAGUGUCUGUGUCCCCAUGUUUUCCAGUGUCCCCAAAUGUCUGUGUCCCCAGGUCUCCUAGUGUCUGUGUCCCCAUGUGUCCUAGUGUCUCAGUGUCCCCUAGUGUCUGUGUCCCCAUGUGUUCCCUAGUGUCUGUGUCCCCUAGUGUCUCAGUGUCCCCUAAUGUCUCAUUGUCCCCAAGUGUCUCAGUGUUCCCAGGUCUCCCAG